CAUAUCAGAAGGCACACCCGGAGAACUGAAACAUCUUAGUACCCGGAGGAAGAGAAAGAAAAUUCGAUUCCCUUAGUAGCGGCGAGCGAAACGGGAAGAGCCCAAACCAACAAGCUUGCUUGUUGGGGUUGUAGGACACUCUAUACGGAGUUACAAAGGACGACAUUAGACGAAUCAUCUGGAAAGAUGAAUCAAAGAAGGUAAU
rnacentral:rRNA from 1 species